rnacentral:rRNA from 1 species
CCUACGGGCGGCAGCAGUGAGGAAUAUUGGUCAAUGGGCGCGAGCCUGAACCAGCCACGUCGCGUGAAGGAUGACUGCUCUACGGGUUGUAAACUUCUUUUAUAAAGGAAUAAAGUGAGGCACGUGUGCCUUUUUGUAUGUACUUUAUGAAUAAGGAUCGGCUAACUCCGUGCCAGCAGGCGCGGUAAUACGGAGGAUCCGAGCGUUAUCCGGAUUUAUUGGGUUUAAAGGGCGCGUAGAUGGGUUGUUAAGUCAGUUGGGAAAGUGUGGGGCUCAACCGUAAAAUUGCAAUUGAUACUGGCAGCCUUGAGUACAGGUGAGGUAGGCGGAAUGCGUGGUGUAGCGGUGAAAUGCGUAGAUAUCACGAAGAACUCCGAUGGCGAAGGCAGCCUACUAAACUGCCACUGACAUUGAUGCUCGAAAGUGUGGGUAUCGAACAGGAUUAGAUACCCGAGUAGUC